ACAUAACUAUAAAAGUUGUAGUGCAAUACCAUUUCAAUAGUUUUCCAGCCUAUUGGAAUGUUGUUGGAACUGCCUUACCCCGUUUUAAAAAACCAGUGACGUCACAACAUUUUGAGAAUCCUAGACUAAGUACGGAGCUGGCGUCGUAAUGUCCUCAUCUCAAGGAUGUUAACGCGCCAGGACGUUAUUUAAAUGGUAUGUAAUAGGCGCUCGAGUACCAAAUAGCUUUAUGGAUCUAUGUCGAUGACGUAACAUGAGAUUGCGAGGAAAUGCUGCCAGCGUUAAAGGAACACUGCCACAGGGACCAACCUUUUUAAAU